rnacentral:rRNA from 1 species
AGAGUUUGAUCCUGGCUCAGGAUGAACGCUAGCGGCAGGCUUAACACAUGCAAGUCGAGGGGCAUCGGGAGGGAAGCUUGCUUUCCUUGCCGGCGACCGGCGCACGGGUGAGUAACACGUAUGCAACCUGCCCUCUUCAGGGGGACAACCUUCCGAAAGGGAGGCUAAUCCCGCGUAUAUCGGUUUCGGGCAUCCGAGAUCGAGGAAAGAUUCAUCGGAAGAGGAUGGGCAUGCGGCGCAUUAGCUUGACGGCGGGGUAACGGCCCACCGUGGCGACGAUGCGUAGGGGUUCUGAGAGGAAGGUCCCCCACACUGGUACUGAGACACGGACCAGACUCCUACGGGAGGCAGCAGUGAGGAAUAUUGGUCAAUGGGAGAGGUCCUGAACCAGCCAAGCCGCGUGAGGGAAGACGGCCCUAUGGGUUGUAAACCUCUUUUGUCGGAGAACAAAACCCGGGACGUGUCCCGGACUGCGUGUAUCCGAAGAAAAAGCAUCGGCUAACUCCGUG